UCUAGUUACUAUGGGGUAAUCAGCAUUACAUAUAUCAGAACCACUACUGAUUAAGCACUAGAAACUUUCAUAGAAGUUAUAUGUGUCAGAUAUAAUAUUAGUUGAAUAUAUAUGGGCGAUACUGUUGACAUCGGGAUGUCGUAAAACAAACGUACUGUAUUGAAUAUAUGGGCUAUAUACUGAUUGCAAGAGUUUAAGAUAAAAAAAUUGUGGGAAUUUACUAAUCAAACUGGCACUUUGGUUAGUAUUUU
rnacentral:ncRNA from 1 species